AUUGAACGCUGGCGACAGGUUUAACACAUGCAAGUCGAGCGGGGGAAGGUAGCUUGCUACUGGACCUAGCGGCGGACGGGUGAGUAAUGCUUAGGAAUCUGCCUAUUAGUGGGGGACAACAUCUCGAAAGGGAUGCUAAUACCGCAUACGUCCUACGGGAGAAAGCAGGGGAUCUUCGGACCUUGCGCUAAUAGAUGAGCCUAAGUCGGAUUAGCUAGUUGGUGGGGUAAAGGCCUACCAAGGCGACGAUCUGUAGCGGGUCUGAGAGGAUGAUCCGCCACACUGGGACUGAGACACGGCCCAGACUCCUACGGGAGGCAGCAGUGGGGAAUAUUGGACAAUGGGGGGAACCCUGAUCCAGCCAUGCCGCGUGUGUGAAGAAGGCCUUAUGGUUGUAAAGCACUUUAAGCGAGGAGGAGGCUACUUUAGUUAAUACCUAGAGAUAGUGGACGUUACUCGCAGAAUAAGCACCGGCUAACUCUGUGCCAGCAGCCGCGGUAACAC
rnacentral:rRNA from 1 species